rnacentral:lncRNA from 1 species
AAAGCCCCCUGCCUGCUGUCUGCAAAGAGAAGCCAUUGUUUUCCCAGUGUGGGGUAACCCUCAAGGACUCUGGGAGCUCUAAGAACAGUGGAGCCUGUCAAGGCUGGUUUCGGCGUUUAGAAGAAAGGAGGCUGAGCGCAUUUACAUCUCCGGCUCCCACCGCCCUUCUGGAUCCGGUGGGGAGAGGCCAGCGGUCCGCGCCCGGGACUGCCCCGCCACAGCCAGGGCUCUGGGUGGCAGAUAGGCCUGCUGAGUGCAGGGUGCUGGCGAGGGUUAUCUUGAGGCACCGCAUUUUAUCCCAUAAAGCAAUCCUGGUUCCCCCAAAA